AUUGAACGCUGGCGGCAGGCUUAACACAUGCAAGUCGAGCGGAGAUGAGGUGCUUGCACCUUAUCUUAGCGGCGGACGGGUGAGUAAUGCUUAGGAAUCUGCCUAUUAGUGGGGGACAACAUUCCGAAAGGAAUGCUAAUACCGCAUACGCCCUACGGGGGAAAGCAGGGGAUCUUCGGACCUUGCGCUAAUAGAUGAGCCUAAGUCGGAUUAGCUAGUUGGGGGGGUAAAGGCCUACCAAGGCGACGAUCUGUAGCGGGUCUGAGAGGAUGAUCCGCCACACUGGGACUGAGACACGGCCCAGACUCCUACGGGAGGCAGCAGUGGGGAAUAUUGGACAAUGGGCGGAAGCCUGAUCCAGCCAUGCCGCGUGUGUGAAGAAGGCCUUUUGGUUGUAAAGCACUUUAAGCGAGGAGGAGGCUACCUGGAUUAAUACUCUAGGAUAGUGGACGUUACUCGUAGAAUAAGCACCGGCUAACUCUGUGCCAGCCGCCGCGGUAAUAC
rnacentral:rRNA from 1 species